UACGUAGGGUGCAAGCGUUGUCCGGAAUUAUUGGGCGUAAAGAGCUCGUAGGCGGUUUGUCGCGUCUGCUGUGAAAACGCGAGGCUCAACCUCGCGCCUGCAGUGGGUACGGGCAGACUAGAGUGCGGUAGGGGAGAUUGGAAUUCCUGGUGUAGCGGUGGAAUGCGCAGAUAUCAGGAGGAACACCGAUGGCGAAGGCAGAUCUCUGGGCCGUAACUGACGCUACAUGCACGAAG
rnacentral:rRNA from 1 species